rnacentral:rRNA from 1 species
ACAAAUCUGCNNNNNGCUCCAUACACCUGUUAUAACCAUUCAUGAGGACUAGGGUUUCCAUCAUUUUCUGUGUAUGGUGCCAUACGGAUAAUGGUAGAAACCCUAGCAAUAAUACGUUUGUAGCUUCAGCGAUGCGAGGUGCGGGGUCAGAAACCGGGUACACUGCCCGGCAGACGUCUCUGCCUUCAAGUCAAUGAGGCUCCCACUUUCAAUGAGGGCAUACCAAGCUUAGGGCUCAAAGGGGGAUUCCCAAUACGCAUGUCGGUUUAUCUCAGGGUCGGCUUCUGCCUUCCCCGGGCUUUUCCGUCCUCUGCAGGGUUUCUUCCUUCCUCUGUCUUGACCGUGCAGGAUUUGGGGUGGGAGAACGAUAUAAUCCUCGAUGUGCUCUCUUUGCUGGGACUUUACCUCCCGGUGAGUUUGCGCACAUUCAUGGUGGGUUCCAGUCCUAUCAACUAGACGACUGGGUAUCGGCCAGCCGUGGUUAUAACGGGUACAGAGGAUUAGGGUUUGAUCCUGGAGAGGUAGCCUUAAAAAUUGCUCCCACUUCCAUGGAAGGCAGCAGGCGCGCAACGUUCUCAAUGGUUCUCGUGGUGGAGACCGAAGACGUUAAGGAACAUAGCAAUACUUUGGCCUGAAAACCAAAGCAAUUGAAAUGGGGGCGACCUAAACCCUCCACCGAGAAGCAAUUAGAGGACAA